AAUAAGGACGCGCUACUCAGUGCGCUCUCUCACUUUUGCGAUGUCCGCGCGGAAGAACAUCAGCUCCUCUAAAAAUGGGAAACUCCGGCUGCUACAUGAAGGAGGCUGAACGUGCUCUGAUCUCCUCCAGAUGAAGACUCUCCAGCUGCUGCAGCUCUGAUGUCACACAAGACCCCCAAACACCAUGAUCCCAGUGGCCUUUUGUGUUGAGAGGAUAUGGUGAAUGUUCAAAGGUCUGGAAGUCCAUCAAGGUUCAAGAUCAUCCUGUCAUGGGAAAGAUGUGCGAAGAUCUACAGAAAGUUCUCCUGCCUCCAACUUUCAGUGCUCUAAUGCAUAUAAAAUUUAAAGAACCUGCUCUAAAAAGAGUGCUUUGGUCUUUCCUGUAAGGUGUCUACCAGAACUCUGGUUUGCAUUUUGCUGAAAUGAAUACUGAGGUCUCCCUCUACUCAAAUUACAAAUUAGCCAAAAGAAAUUGAGCGCUAAUGCAUGUGCUCAUAUUUCAUCAGCAUAAAUCAUGGCUUUGUGUGUGACUGUUUUCUUUUCACCUAUGUUUUUCUGGACAUUGAGUCUGUGCUUAACUGAUUGUGCAUGCAUGACAUGCCUGGUGUUUUGAUUAGCUGGAGUGUUAUCUCUGUACAGUAAAAAUAGAUUGCUUCAAAGUUCAUUAAAUGGAGGUAUUUACGGACCAUUACCUGAGAUCAAGAUGUGUUUUACUGUAGACAAAGUUCCCGCUGUGAGUCAGAGGCAUCUUUGUAACGUCAUGUCUGAGCUUUAUAAGGAAAGUGAGAGCCCUCUUGUUAAGCUUUGGCUGUUAUGUCAUAGUUAACAUUGCAGUUUGUAGCUUGCAUUCUCUCAUUUCAUCUUGGGCAAUCUUACAGACUUUAUUUAGUUAGAAAUGAUGCUAAUUACAGGUAGAAGAACAAUGCUGAUCCAUUUAAUUUUGUAUCUUCAAUGCGUUUUGCCUUGUUCCUGUUUAUUGUAAAUUCAAUUAAAAAUACAAAUAAAA